rnacentral:lncRNA from 1 species
CUGUAGACGUUCCGUGCAAAAUCAGACAGAAGCGGCAGGACCGAGAGACGUGAUCGUGGCAGUUCUGCAGUUUAGUGACUUUGGUUUUCAUUUCAGAAUGAACUACCACCAUGUUGUGCUCUUCUGCUUCUCAUCAGCAGUGAUCAAUGGAAACGCAGCCCCCAACAAUCCUCAUACCAAAAUGGAAGGCCUAGAUUUCUUCAGUCAAUAUAAGCUUAACGUGCAGCCAGGAAGCAGAAUAUAUCUCUGUAGGAACGACUGCAGGAAGGAAGACAUCCUCGUAGAAACACAAAGGGAAUCAAUGCAGACUGGCAGAUACAGAAUUAGAUACGACAAAACGGACAACAAAGUGCACGUCGUCAUCACAGAUCUGAUCCCGUCUGACACGGGAAGCUACAAAGUUGGCGUGGGCGAAUAUUCCCCCGGUUCAUACAAAGAGUUUAAGAUCAAAGUUAGAGCUCGAUGUGAGGAAGUCGUCCAUGGAGAGCAGCAAGUCUACAGCGGCACUGUUGGAGGAAACAUCACAAUCCAGUGCUCCUUGUCUGCACAUGCUUUAAACAGGAAGUUCCUCUGUCGGGACACAUGUCACACAAUUCUCUUUGAAACCAUUUCUGAGAGAGUCGGGAGCAACAAAUAUGAAAUCACAUACGGGAACAACGGGCUCUUUAAUGUAACCAUCACACAGCUGACCUGGUCGGACUCAGGACGCUACAGUUGCGGCGUGGGACGACAGUUUCAAACAAAUCAAUGUCAGGUGUUCGAGAUCACAGUUACGGGUGCAGGCGGCGCCUUGCGUCCACUCGUCUGUCUGACUGCGGUCGUGCUGUUGGUCGGUUGCGUGCUGCUCCUCUACAAACAGAGGAUCAGAAGUGUUGAGUAUGUAAACACCAGGGGAAGUGAAGGAAACCCGGAGACUGCUAUCUAUGACGACUGUGCUCCCUUCUCCACAUAUGAGGGAUCAACUUACUGGGAACUUGAUCCACAGAGCAGAGAUCACACCCCGUACUCUACACUAGACACGCCGACAUAUGUGUAUGUUCUACCUUCACAAGAACGAGCUCAAAGUUCAGCUGACAGAAUAAAAUGAAGUACUUGAAGUUAAUUUCUUCCAGUUUUCUUAUUUUUUUCUGCUCUGAGUUUUUUGCUGUUCAACACAUCACACUCAUCCAUCUCCAG